ACGUAGGGGGCAAGCGUUGUCCGGAUUCAUUGGGCGUAAAGAGCGUGUAGGCGGCCAGGUAGGUCGGUUGUGAAAACUGGAGGCUCAACCUUCAGAGGUCGACCGAAACCAUCUGGCUAGAGUCCGGGAGAGGAGAGUGGAAUUCCUGGUGUAGCGGUGAAAUGCGCAGAUAUCAGGAAGAACACCCGUGGCGAAAGCGGCUCUCUGGAACGGUACUGACGCUGAGACGCGAAAGCGUGGGGAGCGAACAGGA
rnacentral:rRNA from 1 species